UGGUGUCAUGAUGAUUGGCUAUAUGUUCAACUGCUCUGAAGUGUGAUUGAUAGCUGCCUCUCUGAACCACA
ensembl:snoRNA